ACACACAGUCGCUCACCCGCGCCGGGCGCCCGCCCGCCGGCCGCUCGGGCUACGCGCAGCGCGCGGGCUGAGCCGACAUAGAGGAAGCCGGCGAGGGCGGAGGCGGCGGCGGCGGCGGAGGAGGAGGAGGUCGCGGCUGCAGGCGCCGCUGGAGCUGCCGCCGGAGCUGCUGCGGCGAGCGCCGCUGGAGGAGCCGGGACCCGGGCCGGAGUCCGAGCAGGAGUCGGGGCCGCAGCCGGAGCGCGAGCGGAGGCCGGGGCCGCCCGCGGCGCCGCCGCUGUCCCGGCGGGAGCCCUCGCCGGGCUCGGGAGUGCGGGGAGCGCGGUGAGCCGAGCAGGGCGCUGGGCGAGGCUGCCGCCGGCGAUCAGGGCGCGCGGGUGUCGGGGGGCCAGGUCCAGGGCCGGACGCAGCCAGCCAUUCAGGAAGGCAGCGCUGGAGAGCGGGAGGCAGCCGGCGAGGAAGAUCACACACUUUGCUCUUUUUGUUGUGCCGGUGGCGCCGGGCUCUCGCUGCCUUCUUCUUUCGGGAGGUGACGGAAGGGGGAGAAAAAUACGGGAUAAUUCACGCCGGCGACGAAAUCACAGCGAAAUAGAAAAAAUAAAAAUCAGAAGAAAAUAAUUGCCAAAAAAAGGAAAAAGGAAAAGCGAGAGAGACAUCCAAAACAGGGACUGAGAAACGGAAAUACUACCAUCCUCCAGCCAAUCUGUUGGGAGGACUGCUUGCAGAGGACUCGUGCUCCAGAUGUUGCACUAGAGGCGCUGCAAGUGUGAGCAGCAGGUAGAUGAAACUCAAGAGAAAAGGUGUGGAUAAAUGAAACUAGCCCAUGAUGAACCUGUUUUCUCCGUGACCACAAUAUUAACCAGGAUGAAUGGCGGUGGCAGUGGGCCUGCAUCACAGGUUGCAGCAGAUGUUCUCAAUAUUUCUAUUAAAAUUUCCUUAUUUCCAUAUGCAAGAGGAGCCCCAGAGCUGCAUCCUUAUGGUAGCUACCAUGCCGUGAUGUAAGCUGCCAUUCACUGGGGAGCUUUGGCAAUAGAAUUGGCUAGAUCAGGAAGCCUAUGUCAACUAUGGAACAACAACUUGCAGCUCAUCUCUAUUGAUGAGUAAAAGAAUAUGGAAUUUUAGCUCCAGAUCAAU
rnacentral:lncRNA from 1 species